ensembl:lncRNA
CUCGCCGAGUGGGUCUGGGAGUUUGGAGACGGCAGUGGGGGCGGAAGCUGCUGGGGCCGUCCCGAAGCCUUCCAAGGGGCGGAUGCCGUCGGGGGCGGAAGCUCCUGUCGCCAUUCAGUCUCCUGUAUUUGACCCGGCUGGCCAGGUUGGGGCGGGUUUGGUGACGGAGGAUCUCAGGCUUGCCCUUCGCUUGAAGGAGGUGGAGUUGGCGGCUAAGGCUAAGGAAGUCGAGCUCAUGCAUCUCCGCAUUCGAGCUAUGGAGCUUGAUCGUUCUCGAGCGAGUGACGCUGCUCCCGUUCCUGUAAGUACACUCCCCGACACUCCCACCAUAGACCAGUUUAACGCUAGCAAACAGAUUGUUUUGGUACCUCCUUUUAGGGAAGGAGAGGUUGACUCAUAUUUCACUGCUUUUGAGCGCAUCGCAACCACUUUAAAAUGGCCAAAGGACGUCUGGAGUCUGUUGCUGCAAUGCAAAUUAAUAGGAAGAGCGCAGGAGGUCUGUGCGAGUCUUUCUGUUGCGGACAGCUUGGAUUAUGAGGUUGUCAAAUCCACUAUUUUGCGGGCUUAUGAACUUGUCCCAGGGGCGUAUCGACAGAAGUUUCGUGCCUGUCGCAAGCUUGAUAGUCAAACGUUUGUGGAAUUUGCACGUGAGAAAACUGUCUUAUUUGACAAGUGGGUGGCUGCCAGUCACGCGGAGGACUUAACUCAGCUAAAGGAGUUGAUCCUGCUGGAAGAGUUCAAGACAUGUCUCCCUGAAAACAUUGUCGUGUAUCUUAAUGAGCAGAAGGUUGGGUUACUGUCUAAAGCCGCGGUCCUUGCCGACGAGUUUGUGUUAACUUAAAGAGAGAGAGAGAGAGUGUGGAGCCAUCGCAGUCCUGACCCUGGUUUUCCCAGCCUGUGUUUAUCUUGUGUAUUUGUGGGAGUGUGAAUUGUAAAAGCCGCUCCUAGUGCAUUAGCUGAGAGCUUAGGCACUCGUGGGCUGAAGCGGAAGGGGUGAGCUGCCUUUUCUUUUGGAAUCGUUUUCUCCUGUUUUCUUGGUCAGGGAGCGAGGGAUAGCUCUGGCAUUUGUUUGUUCUUUUUUCUUUCUUAGGGUUUAGUUAGUCUUUUCUGGUCGGACUUAGUUGGUUUUGUUUAUUAUUUUGGCCUGGGCUCACCCUGGAGCUAUGCUUCUUGUCCUUAAAUAAAAUCACUUUUUUUUACUCACAACUGGUUUGGAUGUUUGGCUUGGGAACCAGGGCGGGGAUUUGUCUCUCUCUCCUCCAACCUUAUGUGCGUCCCUACCCACCUAGACUAGGGGCGUAACAGGUACAUUGACAAAAACAUAUACUUUUAUUCACAGAAUAAAACAGUUGUUUUGUAUCACUAAUUGCCCAGUACGAUUACAACAUACAAUAUUAUUGUCACUGCUACAUUUCUGUGAUGCUACCAGAGAUUAUUUCCACUACUAAUUAAUUACCGUUGAGCUCAAAGGUUAUAUUAAUAAACGGUUAACGAAUGUGUAUUUAUGACGACGAUUUGUGAGACUGGUAAACUUACCUUUGUUCGUACGAUGGUCUUUCGUUCUACACGGUGCAUUUCAAGGUCCUGCACCCAUCCGUCGGUAAACUGUACCUGGGCUUGUUGCAGUGACCUGAAGUUACUAAACUUCAUGAGUGUAUGCACUCACUCCAAGAACCGUAUAAUUAUAAAUCUGAGCGUGGUGAAAGUUGGGCAACACGCUAACGUCUUUUGUCCACUCUGUGUGCUCCUAAGGGUCUGACCCUUUCACUCCUUUGAUUUUUCCUCGCAUCUUUUCUUUGUCUUUUCGUCGAGUCUGUCUUUGUACGGACCGGCAUUGUUCUCCUUUUGUUUUGUACAUACCUUUUUUGUGCGCCAAAGAAAAAGCAAGAAGGUAUUGGAACCGGAGAAUGAACGUUUUGCGGUGCUGCAAAUGCUUGCAUUUGAUGCGGUACUUGGAUUGUUUUGCCACUAGUUCCCGGCAUGCAAUGCGCGAAAACGUGAUUGCUAAACAAGGGGGAGGGUCCAUCCGGCCUCCUCGGCUGUAAUUGGUCCAGCCCAGAGUCGAUCAUGACCAAUUGGCCAAUCCAACACCUUUCAUUAUAUAUACCCUUCCUAAAAAAAAAAAAAAAAAAAAAAAAAUCCAUCGGCCCAUAAAAACAUCGGCCCACUGGGCAAGGAUACUUUCUGUAAUCAAAUCACCAAGCUUCCAGUCGAUGAUGAUGCAUGAGUCUUUAUGUGUUUCCGUGUGUUUGAAUGUGUCUAAUUAUGCUGUGUUGAACUUAAUGAAUCAGAGGUGGAUGUCAUUUGAUCUUUGGAGGACACUAUUGCUUACUCAUGCAUAUCACACAUGUAUAGUCAUAACUGACCCCUGAUCUCCUGACUGUUCUUCAGACCUGAUUCUGGGAUCUUACUUGAUGGUGUGCAAAUAGCAUGAGACAAUAUAUACAGCAAAUAUAUAGCUCUGUUUUGUAGUUUUUGGCAAAGUGUGUGUUUCCUAAUUCUUGUGGCGCUAACAACAAAUAUGGUCGUGAGUUUGUCCACAAUAUCCACAGUGGCCCACAGCGCUGCUGAGACCUUCUGCCAGUUAGUUUCCAAGAAAUAUCUUUGCAAUUCUACACAGGAAAUAAAGACCUCAUUAUUAAUGAAACUCUUCUUUUUGGUUGUUUUUUCCAACCUGAUUGAUUUUUUGUGGCUUUUCUUGUGCAGAGAGUGAUGAGCUGCAGUCUGCUCAGCAGUGAGAACAGAAGAUGUCAGCUGAUACGGAUGAAUAUCACCAAAGAGAAGAGAGGCUGAAAGAGUUUCUACCAGAGCCAAAUGUCAUCGACUCCUCACUGAAGUCGUCCACCAGUCCAACCACUGGGAUCCAGCUGCUGCUCUCUAACUGGUCCACACAGCAGCUCAGACCUGACACAUUUACUGUAAACACACUGGUUUAUAUUCUGUUUGUUCUCCUCAUGAAAGAAACCUCACACAACCUCUGAGGGCAGAAAGUUCAAAUGGAGAGUUUUUGUUAUUUUCUUUUAUAAAGAAGCUGGAAAAAUUUAACUUUCUUAAUUUAGUUUUUAAAUUUUUUAUAUAAAAAAGAAAAAUUUUCUUCAUCAGGCCUUUCAGAAUAAAAGCAUGACCAAGACGUAAUUUAUACAUAAACAAUAAUAAAUGUUAUGUAACUAAAUUGUAGAUGUAAUCCAUGUUUUCAUGUCUUCAGUAACUUUGCUGUUAUUUAUGUUAUUUCUAAGUGUGCUGUUGUCUCCACAGCAGUGAUCUGGUUUCUCUGCAGGUUCAAUAAACUUUGGUCUCACUUGA